GUCUGAUCUAUUAAUUUGAAAGUUCGCAGAUCAUCAGCCUUGGGUUCUUCCAGAAUCUUAGCAGAUCAUCAGCCUCAAUCUCAACAGUGAAACAAGAUUGGAAUCAUCUCGAUUGGCAAUACAAGAUCCGAAUCAAGAUGAGACGUGAAUCGUUGUGCCGACACAGACACCGAAAGAUAAGUGACUUUAACGUUUUAGAAAGUUUUAUUUCAAAAUAUUCUUAGGCACAAUUAAUUGAUGAAUUCUUGCAUGCUCAGAAUUUAUCUUUUAAACCUGUAUUAUUUUCCUAUAUUAUUUUUUUGUAUUAGCUGUGUGAGCAUGCGUUCCCGUGUUGUGUGCUCUUGUACCAUGGUUAUGAGUGUUUUGGAAAGUAAAUGCUAUAAAAAAUGGAUAAUUACGUAUUGUCACAACUUUCGCAGCUCCAAACUUGAAGGCAGACCAAUAUGUUGCAGGCACUCAGACAAAGUAUGUUAGAUUGAUUGCCUUUCUAAAUUUCUUUUACAUAGAAAAAAUGGUUACUGGUCUUUUAGCUUUUGUCUAUUAGACUUUGUUUCUACGUAGAUACUAAUAAAAGUGAUUGUUAAUGAAGCCAAGUGACCAGUUACGUACAUGGUUCGAAGACGAUGAUGAGCUCGAGCGUACUAUUAACGGACAGUAUGUCUGCGGCUUAAUACUGAUGAAUGUCAGAUUACUUUUGUGUCACUUAUUCCUUUUUGUUUGAAUUGUAGAUGGAAUUUAUUACCAUGUGGAAAUGAAGCAAGCGUUCUGGAACCUAUAUGUUUUAGUCGAGAUGAGACUAAUCCCUGCAUAAUCGGGUUUCUCAAUUGGAUGCUCGAAUCAACUACAAGAACGACGCCUUCUUCUUGAGAGAUUUACAAAGUCAACACGCAAUGAAGGAAAACGAUACAGGGUACUUCCGAACUAUCCUGCGUGCAUGCGUUCUUCUGAUGUGAUUGAGUUUGGUUCUGAUGAGGUUUCGUAUCGUGUUAAGGUCACAAAAUCUGCUCCAAGAGUGUCUCAGAAGGAAGAAACACAUAUUUUACAGGAAGUAUAAUAUAUAAUUAUGACUAUUUUUAGUUGCAAUCGAUGUUGUAAGUAGAAGAGUUGUACAGAAAAAAAGCAGUAUCUACAUUGUUUUAGUACAGGGUGUUAUUAUACAAUGAUGUCAAUCAUAUUAGGAUCUAUAUAUGUAACAUGAUUUUAUUUUGGUUUAGUAUAUAAUAGGAUACACACAUAUGUGUGG